rnacentral:piRNA from 1 species
AGCCAAUCAAUAAUACCGCCAACGUUAGAC